GAAGUCUUACCUUAAUUAAAGUGGCCCGAYGCUAUUCAGGUGUUGUAGAAUAGAGUUCUACAGGCUUUG
rnacentral:tRNA from 1 species